rnacentral:piRNA from 1 species
UGCCCCAGGGUGAGAAAGUCCAAG